UUGGUUGGACUCAUCAAGAGAGAGUUUUGAGCAACUUUUUAUGAACCAAAGACUUUUUGGAUCUUCUACCAAUGUGCAUUUGAGGCAUUGCUUUCCUUUUGAUAGAUUUCUACUUCCUGUUCCCGAUCCCAUCAUAGGACUCUAUUCUGACCAACCUUUUGUAAACAAAGCUCAUUCAUCAACACUUUAUUCUUUUUUUCAUUACCAGUGAUGUCUCAUUUGAAACACCGAGUGCCGUUACUGCUUUAUCCUAGUAGGCAUGAUAAGCACUUUGAUUUUGAUCUGUGCUCGGCUUGUUUUGAAUGUCUCCCUUCGCCAACACACGUUUCAAAUGAUCAUUGUGGCCUGAAGAAGCCUGAUCAUUUCAAUCAAUUGUGUUGGAGGAGGGAGACGUGUAGGACAGCGGCACUCAGUUGAGCUACUCCUUUUUGAUCAAGAGGAAUGUGGGCAAGAUUCAUUUAUGUUGGGGAUUAAUCAAGAUGAGCACACAUUCAUCAGGAUUCCAUCCAUGUUUUUUUUUUUUUUCUUUUAUUGUGCGAGGCAUCAAAAAAGAAAAUCCGAAUUGGUCUUACUGACUAAUGGUCCAUCGGUUAACACAUACGGCAUCCGAUAUGUAAAAUAAUGUCCUCGAUCAAGACUGACAAUGCUGCCGAUUACUACUUACUAUACUGCAGUGUAGGAUAGCUCGUGCACAGUUAGGAGUUGUGAGAUUUCAAUGUUAAAAGCAUGCAUUCGUAUUUCACCAUGUAUAUACAAAA